UCUCAGACAAUAACUAAAUGAACUGCAACAAUGAACAACAGAAUUGAAUUUACAGAACAGAAGUUGUGAUGUUGCUCAGAGAGGAGGGACUCAGAGUUCACAGAUCUGACAUGAUCUCAUCGUGUCUGAAAGAGUCUGAGGAUGAAACGAUUCAGUCUGACUCUUCUCACAGUGAACACUUGAACAAUGGAUCUUCAUUCAGUUAUUCUGUUCUGUACCUCAGCAGCUGCUGUUUUUGGAAAUGUCAUCGAGCCAAACAAAACAGAUGUUGUUUAUGAGGAGGGUUCAAGUGUUACAUUAUUCUGUAGUCUUUCUCCUGGAGGUUCAGAUUAUCUCCACUGGUAUCGGCAGUAUGGAAGAUCAAAACCUGAAUUUCUUGUACUCACCUUUGGAAGUGCAAAAGAAGCUCGGGUGUCUGGUGUAGAUCCAAGAUUCACUGUUGAAGUAAAAAAAAAAGAACAAAUCCAUGUGGAUCUGGAGAUCUCCUCUGCUGGAGUGUCAGACUCUGCUGUGUAUUACUGUGCUCUGCAGCCCACAGUCACAGGAAACACAUCAGCUCUGUACAAAAACCUGUUACAAUGA